rnacentral:rRNA from 1 species
AUUGAACGCUGGCGGCAGGCCUAACACAUGCAAGUCGAACGCGUGGCGGACGGGUGAGUAAUGUCUGGGAAACUGCCUGAUGGCGGGGGAUAACUCCUGGAAACGGUAGCUAUUCCCGAAUACCAUCAGAUUUGCCCAGAUGGGAUUAGCUUGUUGGUGGGUUAACGGCUCACCAAGGCAACGAUCCCUAGCUGGUCUGAGAGGAUGACCAGCCACACUGGAACUGAGACACGGUCCAGACUCCUACGGGAGGCAGCAGUGGGGAAUAUUGCACAAUGGGCGCAAGCCUGAUGGAGCCAUGCCGCGUGUAUGAAGAAGGCCUUCGGGUUGUAAAGUACUUUCAGCGGGGAGGCGUUACCCGCAGAAGAAGCACCGGCUAACUCCGUGCCAGCAGCCGCGGUAAUAC